rnacentral:rRNA from 1 species
AGCGAACGCUGGGGACAGGCUUAACACAUGCAAGUCGAGCGUCCCGCAAGGGAGCGGCAGACGGGAGAGUAACACGUGGGAACGUACCUUUCAGUUCGGAACAAUCAAGGGAAACUUUGGCUAAUACCGAAUACGCCGGUAAGCGGAAAGAUAUAUCGCUGAAAGAUCGGCCCGCCUGUGAUUACAUAGUUGGUGGGGUAAUGGCCCACCAAGGCGACGAUCAGUAGAUGGUAUGAGAGGAUGAUCAGCCUCACUGAGAGUGAGACACGGCCCAGACUCAUACGGGAGGCAGCAGUGGGGAAUAUUGGACAAUGGGCGCAAGCCUGAUCCAGCCAUGCCGCGUGAGUGAUGAAGGCCUUAUGGUUGUAAAGCUCUUUCGUCAGGGAAGAUAAUGACGGUACGUGAAGAAGAAGCCCCGGCUAAUUUCGUGCCAGCAGCCGCGGUAAUACGAAGGGGGCCAGCGUUGCUUGGAAUCACUGGGCGUAAAGCGCACGUAGGCGGCUUUGUAAGUCAGGGGUGAAAUCCUGGAGCUCAACUCCAGAACGGCCUUUGAUAGUGGAGAGCUUGAGUUCUCGAGACGCGAGCGGAACUGCGAGUGUAGAGGUGAAAUUCCGUAGAUAUUCGCAAGCACACCAGUGGCGAAGGCGGCUCACCGCCCCGAUACUGACGGUGAGGUGCGAAAGCGUGGGGAGCAAACAGGAUUAGAUACAGGGUAGUCCACGCGUCAAACGAUGGAUGCUAGCCGUUGGCAGCUUGCUGCUCAGUGGCGCAGCCAACGCAUUAAGCAUCCCGCCUGGGGAGUACGGUCCCAAGAUUAAAACUCAAAUGAAUCGACGGGG